CCCAGGCCGCGGGGAGGGCUCUCGGGGACCGGUCUCCCCGACCAGGGAUCGGUCCCUCUGAGCGAAAACUGCCCAGUGAAUGUAAGUUGAGAGAUGAAAAGUGGAGGGGUCUAUAUGCAAAAUGGCCUUCAUUAGAGAGGGCUGAGCCCCCUCUCUCCCUCACACUCUCAUUUCCCCCUCUCUCUCACUCUCUUCCUCUCUUG
rnacentral:lncRNA from 1 species